rnacentral:rRNA from 1 species
GAUGAACGCUGGCGGCGUGCUUAACACAUGCAAGUCGAACGGGAAAUACUUCAUUGAGACUUCGGUGGAUUUGAUUUAUUUCCAGUGGCGGACGGGUGAGUAACGCGUGGGUAACCUGCCUUAUACAGGGGGAUAACAGUCAGAAAUGACUGCUAAUACCGCAUAAGAGCACAGGACCGCAUGGUCCGGUGUGAAAAACUCCGGUGGUAUAAGAUGGACCCGCGUUGGAUUAGCUUGUUGGUGGGGUAACGGCCCACCAAGGCGACGAUCCAUAGCCGGCCUGAGAGGGUGAACGGCCACAUUGGGACUGAGACACGGCCCAGACUCCUACGGGAGGCAGCAGUGGGGAAUAUUGCACAAUGGGGGAAACCCUGAUGCAGCGACGCCGCGUGAAGGAAGAAGUAUCUCGGUAUGUAAACUUCUAUCAGCAGGGAAGACAGUGACGGUACCUGACUAAGAAGCCCCGGCUAACUACGUGCCAGCCGCCGCAGUAA